rnacentral:misc_RNA from 1 species
GAUGAAGAACGCAGCGAAAUGCGAUAAGUAAUGUGAAUUGCAGAAUUCAGUGAAUCAUCGAAUCUUUGAACGCACAUUGCGCCCCUCGGUAUUCCGAGGGGCAUGCCUGUUCGAGCGUCAUUAUAACCCUUCAAGCUCAGCUUGGUGUUGGGGCCUGCUGUAACUGGUAGCCCUUAAAAUCAGUGGCAGUGCUAUUUGGCUCUAAGCGUAGUAAUUCUUCUCGCUAUAGUGUGUAGUGAGCGCUUGCCAGAACCCCAAACUUUUAUAUGAUUGACCUCGGAUCAGGUAGGGAUACCCGCUGAACUUAAGCAUAUCAAUAAGCGGAGGA